rnacentral:tRNA from 1 species
UGGUCUAGCGGUUAGAACGCUGGCCUUGAAAUCCUGGGGUCUCGGGUUCGAUUCCCGA